ensembl:lncRNA
CCACUAAUUAAUAAGAACAUGGGGAAAUAAUGUUACCAAAGGACCAAUCACAUAAAUGUGUUUAUAAAUGUGUCAGUCUGAACAGUGACACUAUCGCCCUGUGACCAUCUCACAGAGGAUUCCUAAAUCCCUAAUCCCUAAAUCUUUUAAUCUGUAUAGCAGUUGUUCAGGCAAUGGGGGUUUCGCCAUAAUGUUUUAUGGACAGUGAUGGAGAGCAGUAAAGGAUAUAAGAACUGGCGCUGUGCGAGUCACUUCACAAGUAGCAGGUUCGCUCUGCUGCAGUAUCAGUUGCAGGAGCUGAGUGAGAGAGAGCGUAGGGCGCGAAACCAUAACCAGAAACUAUUGCAGGAUUUCCAGAGAGCACAGAAGACCCUCAGUGACUUGGUGGCUCGUACUGAAGCCAUGAACACCAUAAGGAUGGGGUAUGAGAGGUACCUGGAGGAGAACUACCCUAAAUGGCAGCAGAAGCUGCAAGACAAGAGGUUGUCAGAACAGCCAAAGGUCCAGAUGAUAGAACAGCACCUAAAGGCCUGCACACCACAGACGGAGGAGGAAGGUCAAAGGAUAGAUAGACGCAACAAGCACCCUUUUAGAAUCAUCUCUCCUUCAGCUGUUUCUCCUGACCCAUCUCAUUGUCCCAUCUUUAAUUUCCUUCCACAUAUAUCUGAGCAUAGAGAUAAUAUGGGAGAAGGUAAAAACCUGCAAAUCACAAUGCCCUUAGGUGGGGGGGGGAUAAAUAAAAGGACCUACAGUAUUUCAGACUGUUAAGUGUUCUCACAAAGGGACAAGCUGAAGAAUCCUUACGGAUUCUAGACUUAAGACUUAAGAGUGUAUACUAUAUGGCCAAAAGUUUGUAGACACCUAAUCAUCAGACCUUGAGACCCUAUGAGCCUUCCCAAGGUUGGAGUGAAAGAACUUGAGUGGCCUGCACAGAGCCCUGACCUCAACCCCACUGAGCAUCUUUAGGAUGAACUGGAAUGCUGAUUGCACCCCAGGCAUGGAAGUUAUUAUAACAGCAAAGGGGCACUAAAUCCGGAAUGGGUUCCUCAGAAAGCACUUACAUACGGGGGUGUGAUGGUCAGGUGUCCACAAACUUUUGGGCAUAUAGUGUAUGUCAUGCAUGGAGAUUUAUUUUACUUAAGAUUAUGUAAUUGAUUUGAGCCUUUUGAAUGCAGUUGAUUAUAUGGUGAUUUUAUGUGUUUUGAGCACCAUUUUGUUUACUUUCUGUUCAAGACCCAAUAUCUAGGCAUGGUUUAUUCCACCCAGGCAGCAAACAAAACAUGCAAGGAAACAUCCAAAAUUCCAUCCAUUCUUCCUUUCCCUCUAUGUGGUUAACACCGUUACAGCCUCCAGUAACUGAACCGGAGCAUAGUAACAUCUCAAAGAACACCAAAAACAUCCAGAAUGUUCACCAAGCUUUGAAUUCAUCUUUGCUUGACCCCAACCUAUUGUCCAGUGAUCCACUCCAAAGUCUUUACUCAGUAGUCCCGCAAGACCCUCCUUCCUAUGAACAUUUGAGGCAAUAUUCAAACUCCUGGGCAUCUGGGAAUGAAAAGUUUAACCUGAGAGUUCAGUGCCCCACUGAUUGUCCUUCUUGGUCAGACCUGCCUUUGAUUAAUGGGGAUACGGAGAGAAGAGAAGAAGAAGGAGGGCAGAAAAGGCAAGAAGCAUCAUCAAACUCUCAAGGUGAGAAUCAUCACAUGCAGAAGCAAAGGAAGAAAGUGAACAGCAGUCACACUAAGCCAGUGAAUAUAUCAAAUUACUAUGGCAACACCAGUGAAAGCAGUGAUCUGUCCUCUAAAGCUGUCAAAAGCCUUCCUACUGAAGUUCAGAGGAGAAGAAAUAAGAAGAGAAGAGAAGAAAAACAGCCACACAACACAAGGAAAGAUGCUGUUUUUCAGGGGUCAUCCUCAAUAUCAGACUGUCAGUCUGUUCCAAACCACAACAAGCACAAGAGAAAUCUGCUGAUUUCUUGUGGAGAGUCUAAUGGGAGAAUAAAAAAUCCCUUCAGGACUUCUAAAUUUGCUGUAGAUUCCCCUAAACAAUUAGUGAUGGAGAACAAAGAUGGUGGUAGCCCGAUUGAGGGAACACUCACAAGCAUUUCCUGUACAGUUGAGACAAGAGGGAUGCAGAUACAUGAAAAUAAGGAAGACGAAGGGGAGGAAGAAGAUAUAUUAAGUACUGGAGUGAAGCAAGUGAAUGAAGUGGCAAACAGAUAUUCAACUGAGAAUCGAGAGAAGAGAGCAUGUCUGUUUGAAGAACAGGAUAAAGAAGUAGAGUUUGAGGGAACAUGCAGAGAGCAGAGCAGUACACAUGAAGAAGAAGCACAGGAGAAGGAACCUUUAAGAAGCAACACGUCUGUUAAGGAAUCCCUUCUUGAAGAGGUGGAGUUUGUGAGAGAAAGUGAGGCAGAGGAAGGAGGAAUAGGAGAAGAGGAGGAGGAAGGUGGAGAGCAGGGAUAUGAAGAUGAGAAAAUCAGAGCAUCAGGAAGAAGGAGCAAUGAGAAUGAUUAUGAAUCUGAUAAAGAAGGAAGUUGCAAUGAAGUUUUGGUAUCGGGUUCAGAAAGAAGCAUCCAGGACAGUCUCAGAGAGUUGUAUAAAGAUGACACUGAAGAUGACCUGGCUAAGAAGGAGGCAAACAUAGAGGAUAAUGAUAAUGAUGAUGAGGAUGAUGUGAUAGUAGAAAAAGCAUCCCCAUGGUCAUGUCAUCCUGUUUUUGAAGAUACUAAAUAUGAUGAUGACGAUUAUGAUGAUGAGGAGGAGGAUGUGAUAGUAGAAAAAGCAACCACAUGGUCAAAUCAUCCUGUUCUUGAAGAUACUAUAUAUGAUGAUGAUGGUGAUGAAGAUGAUGAUGAUGGUGAUGAUGACAUUGAAGGUCUUCUCGCACCACAGAACAACUCUCUGCAACACCAGGCAGAUGAAGCAGACGAAAUACUCAAAUCAAAAGGUUUGCGCAGCGAUUCAGAAGAAAAUGCACAUGGUAAAGGCGAGCCAGUGAAUUCCGGUGAUGAAUUUGACCAUUUUUAUGAUUAGGCUCCACUUGCAAUCCUCAUUGAUGAAGGUGACCUCAUCAGUGACAAAUGACAAGAAGAUCAAACAUUACUUCAGGGACAUCUUAAUAUAUAAAAAAAACUCUCAUAUCUGCCUGCAAUAGGACUGUAGCUCCAACAAUUCUGUGCUUUCAGGAUAUGAAGAAGGUUUAUAACCUAUACAGCAAACACAGACAAGCAGACUGAAAGAUUAAUAGAGAACAACACAGAGAAUUACAAAGAGAUGAAAGAGGACAAACCGGUGUGGGGAAUCCCUCAGGCUUUUAUGUUAUUUGCUGGGAGCUUAUCGGCUUGCCCUGAAAGAACCACAGUACUGUCACUGUGCAAACACAGGUGGUUCUGCUCAGGCGACAGAAAGAAGGAGAGAUAUGACAGAGAAUAAUAGAAAUAAAGGGAAUAGAUCACAAUGGAGGACAUCAAUAAAACGAAUCGUGAGAGAGAAGCAGAACUGUUAGGGGAGAACAGAUCAUCUUCCCUUACACAGCAUGCAGAAACUUCCCUAAUUUCCCAAUAUAUGCAAUUUGAAUGUAGCAAGGGUUUGAAUGCUUUCAUAUUUAGAUUGGAAGCACAGCCUAGGGGAGGAGGGUGAGUUGGAGUUCAGGCAGUGAGAGGAGGCCGAGUGAGGGGGUAAUGGGGCUGAGCGAUGACUGUUUAAGCGAUGGCUAUUUGAACAGCCAUGUUUGCAUGGAUGAAAAGGGACAGAGGGACGCUAGCAGAGAUGCACAUUAACAGACAGACGAUAAAAAAAAGCUGCCACUGUGUAAACUGCACCAGCCUAGUCUUUCCUUCGGGUGGCCAUGACAACGCUGCAGAAGCUACUCUUUGCCCAGUCACAUGCCCUCCUUUUGACAUGAGGAACAAAACGUCUCCAAUGUGGCAAGUCAAAGCAGACAUUUUGAAUCUGUUACUGCUGUAAACCAACUGCUACAAGCAUUGUCCUGUCUCACUAUUUUCCUGAAUAGCAGCUCACAUUCUAUAAUGUUAUAUUAUUUUAGCUGAAAAUUAUAGUUCAGUGCAUUCAGUUCGGUAUCAGUGCAUGCCACUUUAUUAAGCCACUUUUAGUCUUGAUUGAAAAUAGAAUGAGUGAUAUCUGUAAUAGCUAUGCUACACUAGAAUAAAGUGGUAUCUAAGUGAUUAUAUGUAUUUAUGUAAGAAUAUUUUCUAUGGCAUGUAAACUCUUUUACUUAUAGGUUUGUUUUUUGAAGCUGAAAUUCCUAUAUACUGUAUAAGAUAAAGAAAAUAGUCAAAUGUAGAACAGUGUUCUGGCUUAAAGAAAUACACAAUUAAAUAUUCUCUAUAACAUACUUUGUCAUUCUAUAUUUUCUAAUCUUUUAUUGAUUGCUUCAGAAUCAAUGAAUUGAAGUAGCCCUUUUGGACCUUCC